UAGCUCAGUUGGUAGAGCAGUUGACUUUUAAUCAAUUGGUCGCAGGUUCGAAUCCUU
rnacentral:tRNA from 1 species